UAACAGUGGGAAAGAAAUGCUUGCCCAGGGU
rnacentral:piRNA from 2 species